UGGGGAAUAUUGGACAAUGGGCGCAAGCCUGAUCCAGCCAUGCCGCGUGAGUGAUGAAGGCCUUAGGGUUGUAAAGCUCUUUCGCCGGUGAAGAUAAUGACGGUAACCGGAGAAGAAGCCCCGGCUAACUUCGUGCCAGCAGCCGCGGUAAUACGAAGGGGGCUAGCGUUGCUCGGAAUCACUGGGCGUAAAGCGCACGUAGGCGGAUCGUUAAGUCAGGGGUGAAAUCCUGGAGCUCAACUCCAGAACUGCCCUUGAUACUGGCGAUCUCGAGUUCGAGAGAGGUUGGUGGAACUCCGAGUGUAGAGGUGAAAUUCGUAGAUAUUCGGAAGAAACACCAGUGGCGAAGGCGGCCAACUGGCUCGAUACUGACGCUGAGGUGCGAAAGCGUGGGGAGCAAAACAGGAUUAGAUACCCUGGUAGUCCACGCCGUAAAACGAUGGAUGCUAGCCGUUGGGGGGUUUACCUCUCAGUGGCGCAGCUAACGCCUUAAGCAUCCCGCCUGGGGAGUACGGUCGCAAGAUUAAAAACUCAAAGGAAUUGACGGGGUCAUAGCUGUUUCCU
rnacentral:rRNA from 1 species